rnacentral:lncRNA from 1 species
UGCAUCUCCUUGAAAGCUGUCCCCGAUGGGAUUUCCAGGUACCGCCAGUCUGUGUGUGUCUGUGUGUCUGUCUGUGUGUGUCCGCGUGUGUAUCUUCCUGUGUGUGUGUUGAUUAGUGUGUGGGAGCCCUGUAUGCUGGACAUGAGUGUGGCCAGCGCACCCCAGCGUGGUUAGUCGGUCGUCCCUCUACCUUCUGGUGCCUGUGUGUCCUGGGCUCAGCUCAGGGGCUGUGGGGCCCCGCCUUCUUUGUGUUGCUCCCGGUUUCUGAAACCUUAGUGUAGUGGGGGUGUGGCUGCCACCCGCAGGCCCCCUAAUCACCUGCCGAUCCCUAGGAGUCAAUCCUCCUGAAAGAAGACCAACACAGCACACCCAAAAGCAAACUCUUCCAUGGGCCCUUGGUCCUAUGGCACAUGUAGGGCUGUUACUG